CUUGAUCAGAGCUCAAGAAGCACAGUCACCACAGGACAAUGUGAUAUUUCUGGACCGGGAAUCCAACCUUCCCACUGUGUGUGCAAUGCCUCUGCUUUCCUCUCCGCCACCCCCGCCGUUGCUGCCCUCUCCUAGCUUCUGUGUGCCAUCAGAUCUCUGAUGGGUUUUAAACUAGGGAGCAUGGGUGAAGGCUGGACUUCCAGAGAAAAAGAAGUUGUGAGGUUUUCAAGCUCACAUUGUUGAUUCACAGUGGGACUCUGGAUUUCAGAAAACCCAGCCUCUCUGCAGAAGCCUCCAUUGGUAACCACCUCUGCCCAGUCCAACUCUACGUGGGAGAGAGAUGCUAGGAAUUCAGUGGCAUUCAAGGCAGACCAUAGGUGUUUUUGGACUACGUACUGUUUGUCAGUUUAUCAGAUUCCCCAAGAUGCUUCCAACGUUUUGAAAUGAAUUAUCCAAAGGAAACCAAUGAAACAAUGACUUUUAGACUGUCUUUCAUGGAGCCCUGGAUUCCAUGAAAGGGACUUGGAGACUGUAAAGUGGGUGAAAGGAGAUGAGGAAUGAAGUUGCAGACCCCAACCCCACUUCAUCCAGAGCAACACAACUUUUAUUGGUACUUUUAUUCUGGACUUCCAUAUUAAAAUCCACUUAACAAAAGUUUUAUGAAAAUGAAAGUUUGAAAACUUGUAUCUUGAGAAAAGGCCUUUCCUUAUGUAAGCAAGCUACUCCCAGGGCUAACAGUCUUCUACUGGGCAAGAUAGCUCACUAGCACACUACUUAGAGAUGCUAACGUAAUCAUCCGAGAGGAGGGAACCGGGAGUGUGUCAAGACCACAUUUCAAGAACACAGCCUUUAAUACUUGGCAUGAGUCAUUGAUGGGGAAAAUGCUUUUUUCUUCUUUUAUUCUUUUUGCAGACAAUAAUGUCUGCUCUCUGCAUAUGAAGUUCAGGAAGCACAACUAAUGCACCAAGAAAGAAAAGGGCUAGAGACAUGUCACAUCUCAGGAGCACAAUCUGAGUUGUAGGUCUUUCCUUGCAAAUGAAAUUGGUAUAUCAACUUUGCAAGAAUCCACAGGCUGUUUCCAAAGUCCAUAAAAAUCCAAUAAAGGAAGUUCCCCUCCUUAAACAUAUGCUACACAAAACUGGAUGCUGGGGAAAUAUUCACACUCAUCUUCCUCUUCUUAUCUGCUGAAGUUCUGCUUAGAACUGACCAGAUGAUCUGUUCACUUGGCUCCCAGACGAGUAUCAAAGCUUUCUAAUCAUCCCCUUGGUGAAUCCCAGGAAACUGAUUUAUACCCCAAGGCUCA